GUGUGGCGCCGCCGCAGUGUUUGUCCCUGCCCGGCUGCCAUCGGAGAGGUGGCUCCUACCACCGACAACACACAACUGUCAGAAACAACUUCUGCUUUCACUGCACUACUGCACUGAUGGGAAUAUAUUAAAACAAUGUCAUAGCUCAGUGUUUCUGCCCUUGCAGCUGCAAACAGUUCUCCGGAUCCACCAGACUCACCGCAGCACAAAUCUCAGCCACGGACUCCCGAGAUCACACUGACAGUUGAACCAGCCCCUGUAGCCAGAUGAAGGAAAGAGGAGUCAAAACAGGACAAAGGCUUCACAUUGUUUCUAAAUAAUGACUUACUGCUGGGAUUGAACAAAAGAGAAGAGCUUUGGAGAAAUGUUAAUAAAGAUGCCUUCACUGCCCUGUGGACUGGAGAGUCUGAAGUGAUGGAGAACAGAGAGGAGAGCCCUGCAGAUGAGAGGGCCCCCACACCCCCAGAGCGAGGACUGCUCCACAUCUGGCGGUCAGCGGGCCCCAGUGCACAGCUCUGUCCAGAGAGAGUGCUGCUGUCCAGGCCUGUACUGCAGGUUGCACUGGGAGAACACCAUGGCCUCCUGUUAAUGCAGGGGGGACAUGUGUUCUCUUUCGGAGAGCUGUUGUGGAGGGAUCAGAGCAUCCCGGUGUCUGCUCCGGUGCUGGAGGUCUCUCUGCUGGUGAGGACGGUGGUCCGUGUGGCUGCUGGUGGUUUCCACUGCGGAGCGUUGAGCGAGCAGGGCCAUGUCUACAUGUGGGGUGAGAACACUGCAGGACAGUGUGGGCUGACGGAGAGGGGCACAGUCUCAAACAUCACAGUUUCAGAGCCAUGUCCGGUCACUGUGGUGGACAGUGAGGUCGUUCCUCCAGCGGUGGUUCGAGUCGUGGAACUAGCUCUUGGACGGGAGCACAGCUUGGCUCUGUCUGCCCAGAAUGAGCUGUGGGCGUGGGGCAGCGGCUGCCAGCUUGGCCUGGUCACCACAACUUUCCCUGUGUGGAAACCACGGAAGGUGGAGCACUUGGCUAACAGACAUGUCAUUCAGGUGGCUUGUGGUGCUUACCACAGCUUGGCGGUAGUUCGCAGUUUACCUCCAAAGAAUACCCAGAAUACUUCUGAGAGGAGGGAGCGCGGUCAGUCACCUCACUAUUCAGUGGCAGAAAAGGAGGAUUCAGUUGAUGCCGGUCACUACUGUCCGCUGGGGGUGGAGCUGACUGAAGUCAUGACAAGCGAGCAGACCUCUCCAAGAAGACGAGGCCCGAGAGGAAGGCUCCAGCCUGGGGAAAGAACAAGUCUUCCAGUCGGGCACACUGAGACAGACGGCAGCCCCAAGUCUCACCCGCUGUCAGGGCGGAGUUCCAAUAAGAACUCUCCGUUCCACGAUGAAAAGGAGCUUCAGAACCUCCUCCAGAAACUCUCUAGUCACUCACUGGAGAUGCGCCACACCACCAGGCCAGGAGAUACUGACUCACUGAGCAGUUACACUUCAGAUGACAGUUGUGUUUCCUCAACUCCUUCUACGGAUCUGUUGACUUCCAGCUACAAAGAAGACUCGCCAAUUAAGAGUCAAACCAACAAUGGCGUGGCCGUGCAGUACUCCUCCUCCCCUGUGUGUUUGGAUGAAGUUCGGCUUUGUCUGGAGGCAGAGAAGCAGACUCUGCAGGGGCAGAAGAGCUCCAGUCUCACAAAUAUCAACCAGAAGGGGAAAGCAGCAGCAGCAGCAACCAGGAGACGCUCACUGCCUGGAACACCCACCCGUGGGUCUCCACGCAGAGGGCGGCCUUGUCCCUGCAGGCCACCCUCUGCUGGUCGCACCCAGGCUCGAGCUCUGGAGGAGGCUGGGGACGGGCUGCCGUCUCUGGAGACAGAAGUGUGGAGCUGGGGCCGCGGCUCUGAGGGCCAACUGGGCCACGGAGAUCAGCUGCCCAGACUCCAGCCGCUGUGUAUCAAGUCUUUGAUUGGAGAGGAGGUGAUCAAAGUCGCUGCUGGGUCACACCAUUCACUAGCUCUCACCGCUCACUGCCAGGUGUACUCGUGGGGCAGCAACAUGUGUGGACAGCUGGGUCAUGUCAACAGUCCCGUCACGGUGCCUAAACAGGCAAAGCUGUCUGAUGAUCUUCGUGUUUGGGGCGUAUCAGCCGGUCAGAGCCACUCCCUCCUCCUGGCUGAUGGAGACUGUGUCCAGCCGGUGCUGCUCUACUGCGGCCAGCAGCAAGAGACAACAUCAGUGCAGAGUGAGAGGUCAAACCAGGGUCAAAGGUCACCCAGCAGAGCAGAGAGUUAUACAGUCAGACCCACCCUGCUGCCCUUCUGCGUGGAGAUGGGUUACGUCAGCAGUGUGUGCAGCGGUGGGCAGAGCUGUGCAGUGUUAGUAGACCAGAACGUCAUGGGUUUUAUCUCAGCUAUCCAUGAGCUGGCCUCCAGAGAGAGACAGUUCUACUGCUGGCUGAGCAACGUCAGGAAGCUGCUGCUCACACCGCUACGGAACAGAGAGAGUCUGUGUCCGUCGUUAGGUGAGCCAUGCACUCAUCUCUUCUUCUCUCUCUAUGAGAGUUUUGUUCAUCUGAGUGUGCUGAUUGGGCGACACUCCACGUCUCUCAGCUACUUCCUGCAUGAUGUGCAGGGCUGUGAUGUCACUUGCCUUCCCCUGCUGACGCACACUGAGCACUUUCUGGACAUUUAUAAAGAGUAUUGUUCUUCAGUGGGUCACUUCCAGGUGAUGGGUGGAUUCCAAUCACUCCAUAAACUCUCAAUUGAGUGUUUGGGCUCUCAGCGGACCAAGCUCGCUCAGCUGUGUGUAUCGGAGCAGUCUGUCAGUGGUGAUGUUGACCUGGUGUCCUUGUUGUACUGGCCUCUGCAGCAGCUCCACCAGUACAGCAGAGUCCUGCUCAAACUGGCAGCCUGUUACGAUGUGUUAACUACAGAGUAUCAGUCCCUUCAUCAGGGCUGUGGUCAGUAUGACUCCCUGUCUUCAUCUUUGUUGAGGAGGAAGAAGGAGGCCGAAACCACCUUCCACUUCUGGAAGACCCACUCUGGAAAAGCUACUGAGGUCCUGCGUCUCCCACAGCGUCGUGUGGUGUGUGAAAGCAGCAACAGAUCUCUGACUCUGCAGAACGCUGGGCGGUUCUCCAACCACUGGUUCAUACUGUUCAAUGACACACUGGUGCACACACAGGGUGCCAUUCCCUCUCAGAGCCUUUUCGCCUCACAUCAUGUCUACCCUCUGACCUGUCUGUGGGUGAAACCAGUUACUGAAGACAGCAGCGGACUCUAUGCCAUCAAAAUUACAUGUCCAGAAGAGAGUUUCACCUUGGUGGCCUCGACACCACAAGAGAAGAACAAGUGGCUUCGAUCUCUUAACCAGGCGGUGGAUCAGAUGCUGGGUGGUGCAGGUCAGGGGUCAUCACCAGGGGUGACGGCAAUGUCUCGCACAGCCUCCUACACGUUCACUGGAGAAGGCCGGUUUAAAGACGCCCAGUACACCGGGGGCUGGCUGGCAGGACGGGUUCAUGGCAGAGGCACCAUGAAGUGGCCAGAUGGACAGACCUACAGCGGGAACUUUAAGAAUGGACAGGAGGACGGCUAUGGAGAGAUUAUAAUACCUAACAAAGUGCUGAACAGGGCAGACAGCUACCAAGGACAGUGGAAAGAUGGCAAGAUCCAUGGUUUUGGAAAGUACAAGUAUGCCAGUGGCGAGGUGUACGAGGGAUGUUUCUGUGACGGGCAGAGACAUGGGUAUGGCAUGCUGAGCUCCGGUAAGCUGGCCAAGAAGUCCUCCAGCGUUUUCAUUGGCCAGUGGGUCCACGACAGAAAGACAGGAUAUGGAGUCUACGAUGACAUCACCAGAGGUGAGAAGUACAUGGGACUGUGGUUGGAGGAGCAGCGGCAUGGCAGCGCUGUGGUUGUGACUCAGGUCGGCGUUUACUACGAAGGGACCUUCAGAGACAACAAGAUGUGUGGUCCAGGUCUGUUGGUGUCAGAUGACGACACAGCUUUACACGGAGAGUUCUCAGAUGACUGGACUGUCAACGGGAAGGGUGUUAUCUCCCUGCCUAACGGUGACUGGCUGGAGGGCCAGUUGACUGGAGAGUGGACCACAGGGCUGAAGGUGGUUGGAACGUACAUCAAACCAUCUGCAGAAGAACCUGAAAACAAAGAGAGAACCAGCCUGCUCAGGGUGGGUCAGUACGUGGUGCCUGCAGCUCAGAGGUGGCUCUGUGUGUUCGAUUCAUGUUGGAGUCGACUCGGCUGUGAAGUUGCAGGGAGAGGAGACAAAACUGCAGCCUGGGACAACAUCGCUGUUACUAUAACAACUGCACGACGACAAAGUCCAAAUCUCAGCAGGUCUCAGAGUAAAGUACUGGAGUGUUUGGAGUUUAUUCCUCAGCAUGGAGAACCAGUGACCACUGCAAACUAUGACAACAUACGAAGAUACCUCGGCAAGGCGUGUGAGACCCCUCACCACCCUCUGGGCUGGCUGGUGGAGACCUUGGUGACGGUGUACAGGAUGACUUACGUGGGUGUGGGAUCCAACCGCAGGCUGCUCAGGCAGGCUGUCCAGGAGGUUCAGGCCUACCUCACACAUUUCUACAGCAUCGUCAGGUUUCUUUUUCCGAGGUUACCAGAGGACGGCGGCAUCAUCCCAGACCCCCCUACCUCUCCAUCUAGAAGCAGACACAACUCUAACAUAGCAGAGCAAGGUGGUGUCCUAGUGGUGAGCUGCUCCUCUCUGCUCCUCCCUCUGCUGCUCCCUCGCCUCUACCCUCCUCUCUUCACCUUGUACUGCCUGCAGGAGGAGCAGGAGGAGACCCAGUACUGGGAGCGAAUCCUCCGACUCAACAAACAGCCCGACCAGUCGCUGCUCAGCUUCCUGGGAGUGCAUGAGAAGUUCUGGCCAGUUUGGAUGUCAAUUCUAGGAGAAAAAAAGCAGAUUGUGUCCAGCAGUAAAGACGCCUGCUUUGUGUCUGCCGUAGAAACACUCCAACAAAUCAGCACCACCUUCACUCCAUCAGACAAACUCCUCGUCAUCCAGAAGACAUUUGAGGAAUUGACUCAGGAAAUAAAACCGACGCAGGACGGCAACUUCCUGUGGUGCAUGGAUGACCUUCUCCCUCUCUUCCUCUACGUGGUACUCAGGGCAAGGAUCAGGAACCUGGGAGCUGAGGUCAGUCUGAUAGAAGAUUUAAUGGAUCCCAACAUUCAGCAUGGAGAGAUGGGACUGAUGUUCACCACACUGAAGCAAUGGAUAAUGCUCCUGGCACUAUAGUCCACCUUACUAAAAAGUCUCUGGUCCUGCCAUUGCUGUUCUUCCUCUGCAGUAUUUUCUGCCUGUUACAUCCAGAUCCAGCAGGAAACAUCUAUGUAGGAGCAGACAGGAAAACACCAUCUAACAGGAAUGAGCCAGGAGAGGCACAGUGCUUCACAAGAGCUGCCAGAUCAAAACCAGUCAAACCACCAGUUUUCUACUGGAGCCACUGGGGAGCUGCACCGAGUCUAAGGGGGGGGAGGGGAGAGCAUUACUCCUUCACCUUCACAGGGGAAACGAUGACUGACACCUCAUCUGCUGCUGAUGCUUUCAGUAUGUUACAGCUCAAGUUCUUUCUGUUUUAUGCAAGGAGCACAUCGCCCUCUUCUGGACAUGUCCGAAAACUGCAUUAUCAUCUUCAUAACAUCUGGCAUGAUGUAACUGUAGAUUUUCACUAAUACUUUAGCUUAGUUUCUAUUUCUGAGUUAAUAAUAACCACCAAAAGUGUUUAAUGGAAAUCACAGGGAUACUUUGUAACAAUAAUGCAGUUUUCAUUACUUGACAGUAUUUUUUUAUUUUGCAAUAUUGUUAUUUUACUGAGGGUACCGUAAUUCAUAGGAAUAUACAGUAAGAUCCCUGUGAGGUCUUCAUUGUACAGUCAUGGAAAAAAUUAGACCACCUUGUUUUCUUCAAGUUAUUGUUAAUUUUAAUGCCUGGUACAACUAAAGGUACAUUUUUUUGGAUAAAUAUAAUGAUAACAACAAA